UUGCUCCGGCAGUACAUCUACUAAAACUGGAACGAUACAGAGAAGAUUAGCAUUGACACUGCGCAAAGAUGACACGCAAAUUUCGAGAGAGAGAGAUACGUGAA